GCCAGCGGCGCCGGCUUCGGAGCAGUGGUAGCCGCGAUCUUGUUAGAGCGAGUGUGGGCGGCGCCGAGGGCUGCGGGGACUGUGAAAGGCCGCGGGUUGCUGGGCAGCCACAGGCAGGGCGGGUGUCUGGCCGGUCCGCGACUCCACCCCCGGAAACCAAUCGUUUUUGGCAGCAGACACCAGAUGGGCAUCUUCCAAUUCAAUUCUGACACUUACCUGAAGAUAGCAUCAGAUGCUAUAGAUUAAGGAACUCAGGCUUACAGACUGCUUCUCAUUUCAGGCACCAAGUGCAAAGCCAGGCCUCUAGAACUUUUGGCUAGCCAGUUCCAUAGAGCAGGGUACUCAUGACCUCCUCCUUGGUCCAAUUAACCUGCUCAAGCAACUUAUAGAAUUCAGGGAAACACUUAUGUUUACCAGUUUACUGUAAAGGAUAUUGCAAAGGAUCAGGACGAACAGCCUGGAAGAGAUCAACAGCAAGAUACAGGAAGGGGUGUGGAGCUUCUGUGUCCUCUCUGGAGGCAAUGAAUGGAGAAAUCUCCCUAAGGUCAGCAUUCUAAUUAAUUGCCUCACUGUGGC
rnacentral:lncRNA from 1 species